GCCUAAGCACUACUAAGACCUCUCCGCCAGAAAAUUACGAGCGAAAGCCUAAAACUCAAAAGACUUGACGGUGUCCCAAUCUUCCUAGAGGAGCCUGUCCCAUAAUCGACAACCCACGUUAUACCCAACCACCCUUAGAACUAUUUUCAGCCUAUAUACCGCCGUCGGACAGCUUACCUUUAAUGAGACUUCUAAGUAGGCCUAAAAGUAUUAUACUAACAAGUCAGGUCAAGGUGUAGCUUAUGGGGUGGGGGAGAUGGGCUACAUUAUUUAAUAUAAUAUACGAAUUUUAUACCCUGAAAAAGAAAAUGAAGAUGGAUUUAGCAGUAAUUUAAGCAAGUAUACUUAAAUUAAUACCGGCUCUGGGACAUGU
rnacentral:rRNA from 1 species